AGUGGACCAGAGUGAGGACGGAUGUAUGGGAGAAGACUCCAGAAGCUCUUGCUACCACCCAGAUGGAAGUCAGGGAGGGCUGUCGCGCUGGAGCAGCAGAGGAAGUGGAGAG
rfam:Camelus ferus unplaced genomic scaffold scaffold726, whole genome shotgun sequence.